rnacentral:rRNA from 1 species
GACGAACGCUGGCGGCGCGCCUAACACAUGCAAGUCGAACGAGCGAGAGAGAGCUUGCUUUCUCGAGCGAGUGGCGAACAGGUGAGUAACGCGUGAGGAACCUGCCUCAAAGAGGGGGACAACAGUUGGAAACGACUGCUAAUACCGCAUAAGCCCACGGGUCGGCAUCGACCAGAGGGAAAAGGAGCAAUCCGCUUUGAGAUGGCCUCGCGUCCGAUUAGCUAGUUGGUGAGGUAAUGGCCCACCAAGGCAACGAUCGGUAGCCGGACUGAGAGGUUGAACGGCCACAUUGGGACUGAGACACGGCCCAGACUCCUACGGGAGGCAGCAGUGGGGAAUAUUGCACAAUGGGGGAAACCCUGAUGCAGCGACGCCGCGUGGAGGAAGAAGGUCUUCGGAUUGUAAACUCCUGUUGUUGGGGAAGAUAAUGACGGUACCCAACAAGGAAGUGACGGCUAACUACGUGCCAGCAGCCGCGGUAAAACGUAGGUCACAAGCGUUGUCCGGAAUUACUGGGUGUAAAGGGAGCGCAGGCGGGAAGACAAGUUGGAAGUGAAAUCUAUGGGCUCAACCCAUAAACUGCUUUCAAAACUGUUUUUCUUGAGUAGUGCAGAGGUAGGCGGAAUUCCCGGUGUAGCGGUGGAAUGCGUAGAUAUCGGGAGGAACACCAGUGGCGAAGGCGGCCUACUGGGCACCAACUGACGCUGAGGCUCGAAAGUGUGGGUAGCAAACAGGAUUAGAUACCCUGGUAGUCCACACCGUAAAC